CAGGAAUCCAAGGACUCCCUGAGGUGUUCGCGGCAGGGAUCUCUGCCCGUGCAGCCCGUCCAUUUCACAGCACAGAAAACUGAGGCUCCGACGUGUUUAAAGCGCUGUUUCUUCGAGUUGGAGGACCUAGAUUCAACUCUCCCGAAAAGCCGUGACCGUAGGCAAGUUACUCAAACCUCCGAGUUCAGUGUCUCCACCUGUAAAACGACGAUAAUAGUGUCCACUUCCUGUGCUUGAUGAGAGGACAAAAUGAAUGAGGCGCAGGAGCCCGGGAACACUACUUAUUUUAAAACAGAAGAGAAGGCCAAAAAGCACAUGAAAAGAUGCUCAACAUUGCUAAUUUUUAGAGAAAUGCAAAUCAAGUCUACAAUGAAGUAUCACCUCACACCAGUCAAAAUGACCAUCAUUUAAAAGUUUACAAAUAACAAAUAUUGGAGAAGGUGAGGAGAAAGGGGGACCCUCCUGGGGUACAACUGCACUCUUCACAUGCUAGCAAGGUUAUCCUCAAAAUUCCUCAAGGUAGGCUUCAGCAGUA
rnacentral:lncRNA from 1 species